rnacentral:rRNA from 1 species
UUGAACGCUGGCGGCAGGCCUAACACAUGCAAGUCGAGCGGAUGAAGGGAGCUUGCUCCUGGAUUCAGCGGCGGACGGGUGAGUAAUGCCUAGGAAUCUGCCUGGUAGUGGGGGAUAACGUCCGGAAACGGGCGCUAAUGCCGCAUACGUCCUGAGGGAGAAAGUGGGGGAUCUUCGGACCUCACGCUAUCAGAUGAGCCUAGGUCGGAUUAGCUAGUUGGUGGGGUAAAGGCCUACCAAGGCGACGAUCCGUAACUGGUCUGAGAGGAUGAUCAGUCACACUGGAACUGAGACACGGUCCAGACUCCUACGGGAGGCAGCAGUGGGGAAUAUUGGACAAUGGGCGAAAGCCUGAUCCAGCCAUGCCGCGUGUGUGAAGAAGGUCUUCGGAUUGUAAAGCACUUUAAGUUGGGAGGAAGGGCAGUAAGUUAAUACCUUGCUGUUUUGACGUUACCAACAGAAUAAGCACCGGCUAACUUCGUG